GAUGAACGCUGGCGGCGUGCCUAAUACAUGCAAGUCGAGCGAACAGACGAGGAGCUUGCUCCUCUGACGUUAGCGGCGGACGGGUGAGUAACACGUGGAUAACCUACCUAUAAGACUGGGAUAACUUCGGGAAACCGGAGCUAAUACCGGAUAAUAUAUUGAACCGCAUGGUUCAAUAGUGAAAGACGGUUUUGCUGUCACUUCUAGAUGGAUCCGCGCCGCAUUAGCUAGUUGGUAAGGUAACGGCUUACCAAGGCAACGAUGCGUAGCCGACCUGAGAGGGUGAUCGGCCACACUGGAACUGAGACACGGUCCAGACUCCUACGGGAGGCAGCAGUAGGGAAUCUUCCGCAAUGGGCGAAAGCCUGACGGAGCAACGCCGCGUGAGUGAUGAAGGUCUUCGGAUCGUAAAACUCUGUUAUUAGGGAAGAACAAAUGUGUAAGUAAAUAUGCACGUCUUGACGGUACCUAAUCAGAAAGCCACGGCUAACUACGUG
rnacentral:rRNA from 1 species